rnacentral:rRNA from 2 species
AGUGGCAGACGGGUGAGUAAUGUAUAGGAAUCUACCUAGUAGUACGGAAUAAUUGUUGGAAACGGCAACUAAUGCCGUAUACGCCCUACGGGGGAAAAAUUUAUUGCUAUUAGAUGAGCCUAUAUUAGAUUAGUUAGUUGGUGAGGUAAAGGCUUACCAAGACAAUGAUCUAUAGCUGAUCUGAGAGGAUGAUCAGCCACACUGGAACUGAGAUACGGUCCAGACUCCUACGGGAGGCAGCAGUGGGGAAUAUUGGACAAUGGGCGAAAGCCUGAUCCAGCCAUGCCGCAUGAGUGAAGAAGGCCUUCGGGUUGUAAAGCUCUUUUAGUGAGGAAGAUAAUGACGGUACUCACAGAAGAAGUCCUGGCUAACUCCGUGCCAGCAGCCGCGGUAAUACGGAGAGGGCUAGCGUUAUUCGGAAUCAUUGGGCGUAAAGGGCGCGUAGGCGGGUUAGUAAGUUAAAAGUGAAAUCCCAAGGCUCAACCUUGGAACUGCUUUUAAAACUGCUAGUCUAGAGAUUGAGAGGAUAGAGGAAUUCCUAGUGUANAGAUGAAAUUCGUAAAUAUUANGAGGAACACCAGUGGCGAANGCGUCUAUCUGGUUCAAAUCUGACGCUGAGGCGCGNANGCGUGGGGAGCAAACAGGAUUAGAUACCCNGGUA